CUCCGUAGGUGAACCUGCGGAGGGAUCAUUACACAAAUAUGAAGGCGGGCUGGAACCUCUCGGGGUUACAGCCUUGCUGAAUUAUUCACCCUUGUCUUUUGCGUACUUCUUGCUUCCUUGGUGGGUUCGCCCACCACUAGGACAAACAUAAACCUUUUGUAAUUGCAAUCAGCGUCAGUAACAAAUUAAUAAUUACAACUUUCAACAACGGAUCUCUUGGUUCUGGCAUCGAUGAAGAACGCAGCGAAAUGCGAUAAGUAGUGUGAAUUGCAGAAUUCAGUGAAUCAUCGAAUCUUUGAACGCACAUUGCGCCCUUUGGUAUUCCAAAGGGCAUGCCUGUUCGAGCGUCAUUUGUACCCUCAAGCUUUGCUUGGUGUUGGGCGUCUUGUCUCUAGCUUUGCUGGAGACUCGCCUUAAAGUAAUUGGCAGCCGGCCUACUGGUUUCGGAGCGCAGCACAAGUCGCACUCUCUAUCAGCAAAGGUCUAGCAUCCAUUAAGCCUUUUUUUCAACUUUUGACCUCGGAUCAGGUAGGGAUACCCGCUGAACUUA
rnacentral:rRNA from 1 species